AUGAACGCUAGCUACAGGCUUAACACAUGCAAGUCGAGGGGCAGCAUGAACUUAGCUUGCUAAGUUUGAUGGCGACCGGCGCACGGGUGAGUAACACGUAUCCAACCUGCCGAUGACUCGGGGAUAGCCUUUCGAAAGAAAGAUUAAUACCCGAUGGCAUAGUUCUUCCGCAUGGUAGAACUAUUAAAGAAUUUCGGUCAUCGAUGGGGAUGCGUUCCAUUAGGUUGUUGGCGGGGUAACGGCCCACCAAGCCUUCGAUGGAUAGGGGUUCUGAGAGGAAGGUCCCCCACAUUGGAACUGAGACACGGUCCAAACUCCUACGGGAGGCAGCAGUGAGGAAUAUUGGUCAAUGGACGAGAGUCUGAACCAGCCAAGUAGCGUGAAGGAUGACUGCCCUAUGGGUUGUAAACUUCUUUUAUACGGGAAUAAAGUGAGGCACGUGUGCCUUUUUGUAUGUACCGUAUGAAUAAGGAUCGGCUAACUCCGUGCCAGCAGCCGCGGUAAUACGGAGGAUCCGAGCGUUAUCCGGAUUUAUUGGGUUUAAAGGGAGCGUAGGCGGACGCUUAAGUCAGUUGUGAAAGUUUGCGGCUCAACCGUAAAAUUGCAGUUGAUACUGGGUGUCUUGAGUACAGUAGAGGCAGGCGGAAUUCGUGGUGUAGCGGUGAAAUGCUUAGAUAUCACGAAGAACUCCGAUUGCGAAGGCAGCCUGCUGGACUGUAACUGACGCUGAUGCUCGAAAGUGUGGGUAUCAAACAGGAUUAGAUACCCUGGUAGUCCACACCGUAAACGAUGGAUACUAGGUGUAGGAGAUAUUAAGUCUUCUGUGCCGUCGCAAACGCAGUAAGUAUCCCACCUGGGGAGUACGGCCGCAAGGUUGAAACUCAAAGGAAUUGACGGGGGCCCGCACAAGCGGAGGAACAUGUGGUUUAAUUCGAUGAUACGCGAGGAACCUUACCCGGGCUUGAAUUGCAACUGAAUGAUGUGGAGACAUGUCAGCCGCAAGGCAGUUGUGAAGGUGCUGCAUGGUUGUCGUCAGCUCGUGCCGUGAGGUGUCGGCUUAAGUGCCAUAACGAGCGCAACCCUUAUCGAUAGUUACCAUCAGGUUAUGCUGGGGACUCUGUCGAGACUGCCGUCGUAAGAUGUGAGGAAGGUGGGGAUGACGUCAAAUCAGCACGGCCCUUACGUCCGGGGCUACACACGUGUUACAAUGGGGGGUACAGAAGGCAGCUACACGGCGACGUGAUGCUAAUCCCGAAAGCCUCUCUCAGUUCGGAUUGGAGUCUGCAACCCGACUCCAUGAAGCUGGAUUCGCUAGUAAUCGCGCAUCAGCCACGGCGCGGUGAAUACGUUCCCGGGCCUUGUACACACCGCCCGUCAAGCCAUGAAAGCCGGGGGUACCUGAAGUGCGUAACCGCAAGGAGCGCCCUAGGGUAAAACUGGUGAUUGGGGCU
rnacentral:rRNA from 1 species